rnacentral:rRNA from 1 species
GAUGAACGCUAGCGGCAGGCUUAAUACAUGCAAGUCGUGGGGCAGCAUGAGUAGCAAUACUUGAUGGCGACCGGCAAACGGGUGAGGAACACGUACACAACCUUCCUCCAAAGCGGGGAAUAGCCCAGAGAAAUUUGGAUUAAUACCCCAUAAUAUAUUUGAUAAGGCAUCUUAUUAAAUAUUAAAGCUUCGGCACUUGAUGAUGGGUGUGCGGCUGAUUAGAUAGUUGGCGGGGUAACGGCCCACCAAGUCUACGAUCAGUAGCUGAUGUGAGAGCAUGAUCAGCCACACGGGCACUGAGACACGGGCCCGACUCCUACGGGAGGCAGCAG